rnacentral:lncRNA from 1 species
UGGCAAUGUUGCUCAAGAACACUUUGGAUGGUGCAAAGCAUGAUAUUGCUCAAUAAAGCCACCCUUGUCCUUUGCAGAGUACUUUAUUAGCCAGGUAACAUUUUAUAUUUUGUAUGUGUUAUUCUGCUAUGUUUUCUUCAUAGCCUUUGCAAUUAAGAUGAGUUUUAGGUGUUUAAGCAAUGCGGUCAUGUUUAUUUAGGUUGUUAAGGUAUCUAGCAAUGAGUUUGAACCUUCAUAAUGAGAUAUACUAUAUGCAAAAGAGGUCACUAAGGAAAUGGAUCAGCUUUCAUAGAAUUGUCUCUUGAUUAUCAGAGUCCCAUGUCUGAAACCCACACAGAAAAUCUGGAAGCUCCACCCCACCUCUAACCAAGUAAUGCUAUUAUGUGUGAUCAUAUAAUUCAUAGGGAUUUUCCUAUUUAACAUGGAAUGUCUCUUGGGGAUUUCUUGCUAAUUUCUUUUUUUCUUACCGCAGUUGUUGCUCCACUGACAUUAACAGCCGUUGGCAGUGGUUGUUGGUCGUUGGGAGAAGGACUUUAGGUAAAGAACAACCUUGGAGAAGAACUAGAACAAGAAAGAACAAGUUUGGAUAAGUAGAACUAGUUUGGUUUUGUUGUUCCAAUAUAAAGCUCUCAUCUUAGUUUUAGUCUGUAGUGAGAAGUUGAAAUCUAAUUACAAGAAUUGGGAAUGUAAAGGAUAAGUAGCUCAGAGUCAACUGUUAUAUUUUCUAGAAUUGUUUCUUUGUUUACUCAAUUUCGUUUCCAAGAAUUGCUUAUGUUUAGCUUUGUUCCUCCAUUUAUUUAUUUAUUUUUUUUUUGGAAAGACUUUGUUCCUCAAUUUUUUUAAUUGCGGAUCUGCUACUUUUUGUUGGAUUGAAGCAAAUAACAUUAAUAUUUUGUUAUAUAUCAUCGGUUAUUUUUUUUUUCCAUUAUUCUGCUUUUUAGUUCGACACUGCACCAAACGCUUCACUAAGUUAGUCCAGCUUAGUCUAGUCUAAGCCAGUCCAACUUAGUCCCUACAGCUAGUCCAGUCCGAGACAGUCCGGUGCAACAAACGCACCCUAAAGGAUUAAUGACCUUGUACCAAAAAAUUCAGUCGCGUACAAGCCUCAUCAGAUGAUUUAGCUGCAGGUCCAAACAUGUCUCCUUCUGAUGUUUGUCUUCCUCGCUAGAUGAUUCACUUGCAAGUCCAAGCCCGUCUUCGUAUCCAUCCCCACCAACAGGUUCUACUUGUGAAGCGAUAUCACCAAUGUCAUCUUAAAGGACAUCUUCAAUUCUUAAUCUUGGGAUGCUUGGUUGGCUACUUCUAAUGUUGGUGAUUUGAGAAUUGUGUUUCAUCCACUGCCUUUAACUAAAUCCUUAUUGUAGACCGAAAAAUUUCACAUGUUGUUUAAAUGUAUUUUUCUUGCAUACCAAAUAUAAAAGUUGUCAAUGAAUUUAUACUAAUGAUUGAAUCGAUUUCAUUUGAGGUGAAUAUAUGAAUUGCAGUAGGUUUCAUUAAUUCUAGUUGUGUAUAUCUUGUGGUUACAGUGACUUAUAUACCAAGAUUAUUCAUAUCACACACACACACACACACACAUACAUAUAUGGGUUAAUCUCAGUUUACUACCCUGAAGUUUCUUAGUUUUCAAAAUUUAAUACAUGAAGUAUUUUUUUUUAUCCCAAAGUGGUACCUAAAGUCAUAAUUUUGGGACACUUUCAUACAUUUGUCAAGGUUGUUGUUAAAUCGGUCAUUAACUGGUGACGUGGCACCCACAUGGAUA